rnacentral:lncRNA from 1 species
UGGGCGACAGAGCGAGACUCCAUCUCAAAAAACAAACAAAACAAACAAAGAAACAAACAGCUGCCUCAAAAACGUGAGUGAUAAUUUAGGGGGCUUGGAAGAUGUCUUUCCAGGAGGCCUCGGUGGCUGGGGUCUCGGCUGUAGUCAUAUUGGACUUUCGGUGUCUAAAUGACUGUCGCCCACUCUCCUUUCCCUGCCUCUGAGCUUUCAUUUUCCUCAGUCUGCUAUAAUCCUCUACUCUUGGUCAACUCCCACGCCUUCCAUGACCCCAUCAGUCUGUGAGUUGCUCCUGCAAUCAUUCCACUCUUCUCAUUCACCAUACUUUGUGGGAUUGAUGAAUUAAAUCUCAUAGUAUCCUGAAUUUGAACCAACCUGUAGAUCUUCAAUAAGUACUUUUUAAAAGGGAAUCAAAUUUCCUUGUUUUGUGUUACUUUAAAAACUACAUUUCUUCAAAGACAAGUAGCCUGAGUGGUGUCUCAGUGGAAAGUUACUUUCCCAAAGCCAUUCUACAGUAUCUGCAAUUGCCUUAAAAUUCUGCCAAUCCGAUUAAUCUUAUUUAAACCACAAAAAUGACUUUCCUAAAUACAUCUUAUGAUGAUCCUAAGUGAUACCUAAAGUGAUAAACGGAUGAAUCGACAAGUGAAGUGGCUUGUUUGAAAGGUUUCCGCGGAUGGCCCUCCUUUCCGU